AGAACAUGUCUUCUUCUUGCAAGCUAAUUGUAUUUGAUUUUGAGUGGUGAUUUUAGACUUUUUAUUUAUUUAUUUAUGUUGUGCUUUAGCAAGGAAAAAAGAAAAAAAUAUCAUAUUUGUUUAAAAUGGUUUAGGUAUGCAUAGCUAGAGGAUCACCUACUUUUCUGAAACAAGGGCUUUACUCUGGGGCUUAUAUAAAAUUGCUUGAGGGAAGAGGGUUCUGAAGUAACACGUUACUCAUGAAAAAAAUGAGUAUCUUCCUUACAUGCACAUGGGAACUGAAACUGUAAACUUGUGCCGUCAUGGAUUAUUUUCUGUACAUUUAUGUGAUUAUGUUUGUGGUUGCAAAUUGUUAAUGGUUUAACAAAAGUUCAUGCCCCUGGAAAUGCAGUUUUUUUAGACCAUUUUUGCUUUUUCUUUAUCUGUGACCACAAAUUUCCAUUGCCUUAAAUGAGAUGAAUGAUGUGGGAGCUUUUGCUGACUUAUAUGCUUACGGGUGUUUUUUCUUACUUUCUCUUUGCUUUGAAUCAUGAUGUAUAGUUUUUAGUAAAUUUCUCCAUCAACCUGGGCCUCUGCUCUUCUAAAAAGGAUACAAGCUCCUCCAUCAACCUGGGCCUCUGCUCUUCUAAAAAGGAUAGAAGCUCCUCCAUCAACCUGGGCCUCUGCUCUUCUAAAAAGGAUACAAGCUCCUCCAUCAACCUGGGCCUCUGCUCUUCUAAAAAGGAUACAAGCUCCUGAUUUUUCACCUCUAUGUCAGCCCAACUCUGUUUGUCAUCUAUUUAUGUUAGGUAUGUCACUAAGUUUAUAUUCAUGCUUUUUUUCAUUGAAAGCAGAGAAAUAUUAGAGGAACUACUAUUAAAAGUAGAAUCUUCCUAUUGUAAAUCAUCCUUAUCAUUUACACAUUCUUAUGUGAGAAAUGCAUGACCGUAAUGUGAGUGCAUUCUCUGAUAUUAAAAGGAAAAAGGUGUAGGCAAUAAUAACAUUGUUUUUGCUUCAAUAGAUGCAAGGGCUAGAUUAUUGCUUUGCACAUUGGCUUUGUUGCUCUUUUUCUUUGGAGUGUGUGAGUGUGCGUCUCUGCAUGUUUGUCUCUCUUCUUAAUAAAGCAG
rnacentral:lncRNA from 1 species